rnacentral:rRNA from 1 species
GUGGGGAAUAUUGGGCAAUGGGCGAAAGCCUGACCCAGCAACGCCGCGUGAGGGAAGAAGGGUUUCGGCUCGUAAACCUCUGUCCUAUGGGACGAAGGAAGUGACGGUACCAUAGGAGGAAGCCCCGGCUAACUACGUGCCAGCAGCCGCGGUAAUACGUAGGGGGCGAGCGUUGUCCGGAAUGAUUGGGCGUAAAGGGCGCGUAGGCGGCCUGCUAAGUCUGGAGUGAAAGUCCUGCUUUCAAGGUGGGAAUUGCUUUGGAUACUGGUGGGCUGGAGUGCAGGAGAGGAAAGCGGAAUUACCGGUGUAGCGGUGAAAUGCGUAGAGAUCGGUAGGAACACCAGUGGCGAAGGCGGCUUUCUGGACUGAAACUGACGCUGAGGCGCGAAAGCGUGGGGAGCAAACAGGAUUAGAAACCCGAGUAGUCC